rnacentral:rRNA from 1 species
UACGAAGGGGGCUAGCGUUGCUCGGAAUCACUGGGCGUAAAGCGCACGUAGGCGGACUCUUAAGUCGGUGGUGAAAUCCUGGAGCUCAACUCCAGAACUGCCUUCGAUACUGGGAGUCUCGAGUUCGGGAGAGGUGAGUGGAACUGCGAGUGUAGAGGUGAAAUUCGUAGAUAUUCGCAAGAACACCAGGUGGCGAAGGCGG